rnacentral:rRNA from 1 species
AUUGAACGCUGGCGGCAUGCCUUACACAUGCAAGUCGAGCGGUAACGCGGGGCAACCUGGCGACGAGUGGCGAACGGGUGAGUAAUGUAUCGGAACGUGCCCAGUUGUGGGGGAUAACUGCUCGAAAGAGCAGCUAAUACCGCAUACGACCUGAGGGUGAAAGCGGGGGAUCGCAAGACCCCGUGCAAUUGGAGCGGCCGAUAUCAGAUUAGGUAGUUGGUGGGGUAAAGGCUCACCAAGCCAACGAUCUGUAGCUGGUCUGAGAGGACGACCAGCCACACUGGGACUGAGACACGGCCCAGACUCCUACGGGAGGCAGCAGUGGGGAAUUUUGGACAAUGGACGCAAGUCUGAUCCAGCCAUGCCGCGUGCGGGAAGAAGGCCUUCGGGUUGUAAACCGCUUUUGUCAGGGAAGAAACGCUCUGGGUUAAUACCUCGGGGUAAUGACGGUACCUGAAGAAUAAGCACCGGCUAACUACGUGCCAGCCGCCGCCGUAACAC